GACGUAGGGCGCAAGCGUUGUCCGGAUUUAUUGGGCGUAAAGAGCUCGUAGGCGGCUUGUUGCGUCGACCGUGAAAACCCGUGGCUCAACUGCGGGCUUGCGGUCGAUACGGGCGGGCUAGAGUUCGGUAGGGGAGACUGGAAUUCCUGGUGUAGCGGUGAAAUGCGCAGAUAUCAGGAGGAACACCUGUGGCGAAGGCGGCCCCCUGGUUGGAUACUGACGCUGAUACGCGAAAGCGUGGGGAGCAAACAGG
rnacentral:rRNA from 1 species